rnacentral:misc_RNA from 1 species
GUAAAAGUUUAUAUCAGCUGUGGUGUACUGUUACACAUUUAUUUUAUACAGUGAGAACUAUAGAAUGUAUUUAAUGAACUCAGUUCUCUUUCUUCUUCUUCUCCAGGUAGUUGAAUCAAUGUACAGCUUACAAGAUGUUGAAGCUCUAUUGAAAAUGUUAAAGAAUUCUCGACCAAGGCCAAGAUGCAAAACCUCAAUAAAACACCUCAACUCUUAUGCGAUAAAGCUUAGAGAAAAUGAGGAUUACUUAGAAGAUCCCAUCACAAGGUUUAAAUUCCUGAAGCUUUUAAAUUUCAAUAUUCAAAAAACUUGUGGACUUAUUAAUUCUAUUCAGCUAAAAAAGGCCGGGUAUAAUGCUGGUGAGAUGGGUAAGGUUGUGUUGACCCUGGUUAAUAUGAUGGAAGCCUACAACCUAUCCCUUCAUCAACUUACUGAACCAGUUCUUCAGGAGGAUUGUAUUCUUAUUGCAGGGUUCAUAGAUACCAUAGAUUUACCACAGAGUAUGAAGUUAAAAUAUAUGAAUAUGUUUCUGGAAAAUAUUGAAGAAGCUGACUUUAGCUCAGAAAAGUUGGAAAAUCAUUUUGAAGAAGUUUCAGACUCGCUGUUGGAUAUUCAAAAUGAAGUUGAUUUUCAAAGGAUUUGUAUUUCACACAAGGAAACUCAAGGCACUAAAAGUUGCAGAAUUGAAAGAGGAUUUUAUGAAAACCUACACAUUGAAGUCCUCUCAGAAAAUCCACGGGUUAUGCUUUAUCACAAAUUUCUCACUGAUUUUGAGCUUAAACUUGCCAGAAUGGAAGUGAACAAAAACAAAUUUAAAAAGGGGAGUGUCAUGACAGAAGGGGAUGAUGAAAAUGUUGAUUUCAGAGAUCAUAUAGAAGAAAUGGAGGAUAGUACAUUUUUUGAUAAUGUUCACCUGAGAAUAGACCGAGCGACGGGACUUACUUCGGGAUCUUUAAAAAUGGAAAUUUAUAAAUACAGAUUGGGUGGAUCACACUCUCCACAUACGGACUUCUAUGAUGAGAACCAUAUUGAAGAAAGCAACAAAAAGAGGAGGCGGAUUUGCAAUGCCCAGGCUAAAUAUAUAUGUUGAGCCAAUACCUGGAAGUCUUUUAGUUUGGUAUAAUGUAGAUAACUAUGGAAGAAACGAUGAGGACACAGUGCAUGGUGGUUGCCCUGUAUACCAGGGUACUAAAAUGAUUGCUAUUACCGAGUACAAUGCACUCCUACAGAAAGAUGUUUGUCCA